rnacentral:rRNA from 1 species
GAUCAUGGCUCAGGACGAACGCUGGCGGCGUGCUUAACACAUGCAAGUCGAACGAGAAUCUGUGGAACGAGGAUUCGUCCAAGUGAAGCAGAGGACAGUGGCGGACGGGUGAGUAACGCGUGAGGAACCUGCCUUUCAGAGGGGGACGAACAGUUGGAAACGAACUGCUAAUACCGCAUGACACAUUGAAGUCGCAUGGCUUUAAUGUCAAAGAUUUAUUCGCUGAAAGAAUGG